rnacentral:rRNA from 1 species
AACGAACGCUGGCGGCAGGCCUAACACAUGCAAGUCGAGCGGACCUUUCGGGGUCAGCGGCGGACGGGUGAGUAACGCGUGGGAAUAUGCCCUUCUCUACGGAAUAGUCCUGGGAAACUGGGGGUAAUACCGUAUACGCCCUUUGGGGGAAAGAUUUAUCGGGGAAGGAUUAGCCCGCGUUGGAUUAGGUAGUUGGUGGGGUAAUGGCCUACCAAGCCGACGAUCUAUAGCUGGUUUGAGAGGAUGAUCAGCCACACUGGGACUGAGAAACGGCCCAGAAUCCUAAGGGAGGGAGGAAUGGGGAAUCUUAGAACAUGGGGGCAACCCUGAUCUAGCCAUGCCGCGUGAGUGAUGAAGGCCUUAGGGUUGUAAAGCUCUUUCAGCUGGGAAGAUAAUGACGGUACCAGCAGAAGAAGCCCCGGCUAACUCCGUG